ACCAUUACGUCUGAAAGACGCACUUGAUGCAGUGCCUACACAGAUAGUGCUUGUAUAUAUUCCAAAGAUGACUUAUAUAAGAGCCCUUAGCUUCGAUUUAAGAUCAAACCUAAGUGUCUCGUGAAUUAAGCACUAUGGUCUUUAACAAUUUGGAAAGCUGAUAUUAAUAGUAAUCAAUCAAAAUUGAGUAACUGAGAAAGUCGAAAGACGUACUUUUUACUCUACUUGACUUGAAUUGCUUGUUAUCAACAUUGAUUGAUAGCAAGGCAAUUCUUCCGAUUAGCUUGUCAUGCAUACAACAUUACCCUUGUCCGAUUUCAAAAGGCGGACAUGAGGCCGAUACUCAAGGCUUUUUAGGGUUGUAU
rnacentral:misc_RNA from 1 species